AGUGAACGCUGGCGGUAGGCCUAACACAUGCAAGUCGAACGGCAGCACAGUAAGAGCUUGCUCUUACGGGUGGCGAGUGGCGGACGGGUGAGUAAUACAUCGGAAUCUACUUUUUCGUGGGGUAUAACGUAGGGAAACUUACGCUAAUACCGCAUACGACCUACGGGUGAAAGCAGGGGAUCUUCGGACCUUGCGCGAUUGAAUGAGCCGAUGUCGGAUUAGCUAGUUGGCGGGGUAAAGGCCCACCAAGGCGACGAUCCGUAGCUGGACUGAGAGGAUGAUCAGCCACACUGGAACUGAGACACGGUCCAGACUCCUACGGGAGGCAGCAGUGGGGAAUAUUGGACAAUGGGCGCAAGCCUGAUCCAGCCAUACCGCGUGGGUGAAGAAGGCCUUCGGGUUGUAAAGCCCUUUUGUUGGGAAAGAAAAGCAGCAGGUUAAUACCCCGCUGUUCUGACGGUACCCAAAGAAUAAGCACCGGCUAACUUCGUG
rnacentral:rRNA from 1 species